rnacentral:rRNA from 1 species
GCGAAAGCGUGGGGAGCGAACAGGAUUAGAUACCCUGGUAGUCCACGCCGUAAACGGUGGGCGCUAGUUGUGGGAACCUUCCACGGUUUCUGCGACGCAGCUAACGCAUUAAGCGCCCCGCCUGGGGAGUACGAUCGCAAGAUUAAAACUCAAAGGAAUUGACGGGGCCCCGCACAAGCAGCGGAGCAUGCGGCUUAAUUCGACGCAACGCGAAGAACCUUACCAAGGCUUGACAUAUACAGGAAUACGGCAGAGAUGUCGUAGCGGUAAAACGUCUGUAUACAGGUGGUGCAUGGUUGUCGUCAGCUCGUGUCGUGAGAUGUUGGGUUAAGUCCCGCAACGAGCGCAACCCUCGUUCUGUGUUGCCAGCAUUUAGUUGGGGACUCACAGGAGACUGCCGGGGUUAACUCGGAGGAAGGUGGGGAUGACGUCAAAUCAUCAUGCCCCUUAUGUCUUGGGCUGCACGCAUGCUACAAUGGCUGGUACAAAGGGCUGCAAUACUGCAAAGUGGAGCGAAUCCCAAAAAGCCAGUCUCAGUUCGGAUUGGGGUCUGCAACUCGACCCCAUGAAGUCGGAGUUGCUAGUAAUCGUAGAUCAGCAACGCUACGGUGAAUACGUUCCCGGGGCUUGUACACACCGCCCGUCACAUCACGAAAGUCGGUA